GGCGGCAGGCCUAACACAUGCAAGUCGAGCGGAUGAAGAGAGCUUGCUCUCUGAUUCAGCGGCGGACGGGUGAGUAAUGCCUAGGAAUCUGCCUGAUAGUGGGGGACAACGUUUCGAAAGGAACGCUAAUACCGCAUACGUCCUACGGGAGAAAGCAGGGGACCUUCGGGCCUUGCGCUAUCAGAUGAGCCUAGGUCGGAUUAGCUAGUUGGUGAGGUAAAGGCUCACCAAGGCUACGAUCCGUAACUGGUCUGAGAGGAUGAUCAGUCACACUGGAACUGAGACACGGUCCAGACUCCUACGGGAGGCAGCAGUGGGGAAUAUUGGACAAUGGGCGAAAGCCUGAUCCAGCCAUGCCGCGUGUGUGAAGAAGGUCUUCGGAUUGUAAAGCACUUUAAGUUGGGAGGAAGGGCAGUAAGCUAAUACCUUGCUGUUUUGACGUUACCGACAGAAUAAGCACCGGCUAACUUCGUGCCAGCAGCCGCGGUAAUACGAAGGGUGCAAGCGUUAAUCGGAAUUACUGGGCGUAAAGCGCGCGUAGGUGGUUUGUUAAGUUGAAUGUGAAAGCCCCGGGCUCAACCUGGGAACUGCAUCCAAAACUGGCAAGCUAGAGUAUGGCAGAGGGUGGUGGAAUUUCCUGUGUAGCGGUGAAAUGCGUAGAUAUAGGAAGGAACACCAGUGGCGAAGGCGACCACCUGGGCUAAUACUGACACUGAGGUGCGAAAGC
rnacentral:rRNA from 1 species